CAAUAGCGUAUAUUAAAGUUGUUGCAGUUAAAAAGCUCGUAGUUGGAUUUCUGGUGGGAGCGAUCGGUCUGGCGCUUAGCGCGAGUACUUGCAUCGUCUCCGGCCAUCCUUGGGGAGAGUCUGUCUGGCAUUAGUUGUCGGGCAGAGGAUCCUCAUCGUUUACUGUGAAAAAAUUAGAGUGUUCAAAGCAGGCUUAUGCCGUUGAAUAUAUUAGCAUGGAAUAAUAAGAUAGGACUUUGGUACUAUUUUGUUGGUUUGCGCACCAAAGUAAUGAUUAAUAGGGACAGUUGGGGGUAUUCGUAUUCCGUUGUCAGAGGUGAAAUUCUUGGAUUUACGGAAGACGAACUACUGCGAAAGCAUUUACCAAGGAUGUUUUCAUUAA
rnacentral:rRNA from 1 species